AACCUAGCACACCUGCGGUGUGUACCUGCGGAGGGAUCAUUAACAAUUAUCCACCAUCAUGGAUAAUUUUAUCCAUAUCCACCUUGUGUGAAUCAUCGAAAGUGUUAUUGGCAGGUUAUGGAUCUCAAUUAUUUGAGAUUCCGUGGGUUUUCUGUGGCUCGGCCUGCCAAUUUUAUUAUGUUUAAACAUGUCUAAAUAUAUUAAUGGACUGAAAUAUACACUAUUCAAUAAAUACAACUU
rnacentral:misc_RNA from 1 species